GCGACGAUGGUGUACUAAUGGUAGCAUGUUCAGCCAUCGAGUUUACGUAUGGUUCUGGUUCGAUUCCAGGUCGUCGCC